rnacentral:rRNA from 1 species
GACGAACGCUGGCGGCGUGCCUAAUACAUGCAAGUCGAGCGAAGUGGAGAGAGCUUGCUCUCAAAGCUUAGCGGCGAACGGGUGAGUAACACGUGGGCAACCUGCCUGACAGACAGGGAUAACUUGGGGAAACUCAAGCUAAUACCGGAUAGGAUCUAGAAUCGCAUGGUUCGCGAUGGAAAGUCUGAACGACACUGUCAGAUGGGCCCGCGGCGCAUUAGCUACUUGGUGGGGUAAUGGCCUACCAAGGCGACGAUGCGUAGCCGACCUGAGAGGGUGACCGGCCACACUGGGACUGAGACACGGCCCAGACUCCUACGGGAGGCAGAAGUAGGGAAUCUUCCACAAUGGACGAAAGUCUGAUGGAGCAACGCCGCGUGAGUGAUGAAGGUUUUCGGAUCGUAAAACUCUGUUGUUAGGGAAGAACACCCGGGAGAGGAUCCCGGAUUGACGGUACCUGACGAGAAAGCCCCGGCUAACUACGUGCCAGCAGCCGCCGUAAUAC